UCAGGUUUCUCCAGCUGCUUGAAUGGU
rnacentral:piRNA from 1 species